UACGAAGGGGGCUAGCGUUGCUCGGAAUCACUGGGCGUAAAGCGCACGUAGGCGGAUCUUUAAGUCAGGGGUGAAAUCCCAAGGCUCAACCUUGGAACUGCCUUUGAUACUGGGGAUCUCGAGUCCGGAAGAGGUGAGUGGAACUGCGAGUGUAGAGGUGAAAUUCGUAGAUAUUAGGAAGAACACCGGUGGCGAAGGCGGCCCACUGGAUCGGUACUGACGCUGAGGUGCGAAAGCGUGGGGAGCAAACAGG
rnacentral:rRNA from 1 species